rnacentral:rRNA from 1 species
AUUGAACGCUGGCGGCAGGCCUAACACAUGCAAGUCGAGCGAGCGGCGGACGGGUGAGUAAUGUCUGGGAAACUGCCUGUUGGAGGGGGAUAACAACUGGAAACGGUAGCUAAUACCGCAUACCCUCAGAUGUGCCCAGAUGGGAUUAGCUAGUAGGUGGGGUAACGGCUCACCAGGGCGACGCUCCCUAGCUGGUCUGAGAGGAUGACCAUCCACACUGGAACUGAGACACGGUCCAGACGCCUACGGGAGGCAGCAGUGGGGAAUAUUGCACAAUGGGCGCAAGCCUGAGGCAGCCAUGCAGCGUGUGUGAAGAAGGCCUUCGGGUUGUAAAGCACUUUCAGCGGGGAUGCGUUACCCGCAGAAGAAGCACCGGCUAACUCCGUGCCAGCAGCCGCGGUAAUUC